rnacentral:lncRNA from 1 species
AAAAUAAUUUUACUCAAAAUUUAUUUCUUGGGCUUGGGACCUUGAAAUUCGAUUCCGGGCAUACGCCGAAGUCCCAUAUUUUCCUACGGACCCUCCGGGACCGGCAAAUCAGGGGUCCGGGUCCGUUUACCUAAAAUAUUGAUUGAAGUCAAAUAUAAUCAUGUUAUAUCAAAAUUUAGUAUUUUUCUCACAGAAUUCAUAUUUAAGCGUUUCGGCUACGCGUCCGGACUGCCCACGCAAAUCGAGGCAACUCAAAAUUUGGUUUUCAAGGCCUGGGAGACAUAGAACGAAUAAAGAAAUAGGUGAUGUCCCUCUGGGUCGUCACAUUAACUUAGAGUUACAAGUUAAAGAGGUAAGCAUAGGCAGUCAUUAACUUAUAGUUUAAAGUUCAAAA